UCAACAACUCACAUUGUGAUCAGUCAUGGC
rnacentral:piRNA from 1 species